UGGGCAGGCAGAGAUGGCUGCUCCGACACUGAGCGGAGAGGAAAGUCCGGGCUCCAGAGGGCAGCGUGCUGGAUAAUUUCCAGGCUCAAAGGAAUAAAUUCCUUUGAGACGGAAAGUGCCACAGAAAAGAUACCGCCCCGACGCUUUCGUUGGGGUAAGGGUGAAAAGGUGGUGUAAGGGACCACCGCUCUUGUGGUGACACAAGAGGCAGGGCAAACCCCAUGCGGAGCAAGACCAAAUAGGAGAGGAGCGAUGUGCCCAUCGCGCUUUACUCUCGGGUAGGUCGCUUGAUUCCGAUGGUAACAUCGGAACCAGAGGAAUAGCCAUCAAUCACAGAUAAUCUGUGAUUCACAGAACCCGGCUUAUCUGCCUGCUUGAAUU
rnacentral:RNase_P_RNA from 1 species